rnacentral:rRNA from 1 species
CUACGGGUCGCAGCAGUAGGGAAUCUUGCACAAUGGGCGAAAGCCUGAAGCAGCGACGCCGCGUGCGGGAUGAAGGCCCUCGGGUCGUAAACCGCUUUCAGCAGGAACGAAAUUGACAGUACCUGCAGAAGAAGCCCCGGCCAACUACGUGCCAGCAGCCGCGGUGAUACGUAGGGGGCAAGCGUUGUCCGGAUUUAUUGGGCGUAAAGAGCUCGUAGGCGGUUCGGUAAGUCGGGUGUGAAAUAUCAGGGCUCAACCCUGAGAGGCCACUCGAUACUGCUGUGACUAGAGUCCGGUAGAGGAGUGUGGAAUUCCUGGUGUAGCGGUGAAAUGCGCAGAUAUCAGGAGGAACACCCAUGGCGAAGGCAGCACUCUGGACCGGAACUGACGCUGAGGAGCGAAAGCGUGGGGAGCGAACAGGAUUAGAUACCCUGGUAGUC